rnacentral:rRNA from 1 species
GAUUUCUGGUGUGGUGCGCCGAGCCCGCCGCCGUUAGGCGGUGAGUGCUUGUUCGCGCGCCUACCAUCCUUCCGGAGAGCACGUUCUACCCUUAACUGGGCCGGAGCGUGCGAUCUGGAUCGUUUACUUUGAAAAAAUUAGAGUGUUUAAAGCAGGCGUUUGCUAUGAAUACAUUAGCAUGGAAUAAUAAGAUAGGACUUUGGUUCUAUUUUGUUGGUUUCUAGGACUGAAGUAAUGAUUGAUAGGGACAGUUGGGGGUGCUAGUAUUUAACGGCCAGAGGUGAAAUUCUUGGAUUCGUUAAAGACUAACUUAUGCGAAAGCAUU